UCCAGAGGAGUGAGAUGUGAUCAUUUUCAAGCACUGGCGGUGAUUUGUGUUCCCACCGGUAUUUAUCAUGGGGCAAGUCCAGGAGAUCGGAGGAG